UUUAAGAACGGGAAUUAUUCAUUGUUUACGCCCCCGUAAUCCCCUUUGGGAGAGGAUUUUUUAAAAAUUUUUUUACAUACAAACCUUCUCCUAACAAUUCUGAAGACAACAAAACAAAAUUUAGCUCAAUCGGUCCAGCCGUUCUCAAGUAAUGCGUGGACAUACAUGCGGCAUUUUAUUUUUAUUUAUAUAGAUAAACUUUUGAUGACAAUAAAAAAAUUUUU